CAUCUGAGCAUGAAGUAUGUUCAUGGUGCUCCCAAACUGCGCCUAUGCUGAGACUGCCGGGGGGAGGAGUUGCACUAGACUUCAUUGAUCUUGCUUCUUGUGAUGACCUGGCCUAGUUUGAAAACUCUUUGGAUUAUACCCAGCUGUUGAUUCCUUGUUAAUCACAGGGAGCUGUGAAAGUCUUUGACAUUAGGCUUUAUGAAUAGCUAGCCAUUCUGAGGUCAAUUUAGCUUCUUUCAUGUAGACUGAAUGUAUUUUGGCUGAAUCAGGCAAAUAAGCUUGGAAUCUCAUGAAGUUGCCACUAAUAAUUCAAACAAGGUAAACAAGAUAAUAAAGAAGUGACUCUUUGUUAAACUGCUCUUCACUUUGAAUCUGAAUCCCCCAGCACCUUCAAAGACAAAUCAUUAGGAUGUUCUGAUUGACACCAGGCCCACACCAUUAUUCAGCACAUGUGUAAUCUGUUGGUAUGUUGUUGAUUGGAGCUUGCUUAAUUGACUUAAAGCAGCAUUUGUCAAACUUUAGUGUGCAACAAAAUGACAUGGAAGGCUUGUUAAAAACACAGAUUGCUAGCUCCCAAUCUGUUGCAUAGAAGUUUGCUUAUCACCUUGCUUGGGUGUGACUAUUUUGGACAUCUUAAAAAGCAAGUCAGAUUAACUGGCAAUAANNNNNNNNNNNNNNNNNNNNNNNNNNNNNNNNNNNNNNNNNNNNNNNNNNNNNNNNNNNNNNNNNNNNNNNNNNNNNNNNNNNNNNNNNNNNNNNNNNNAAUAACCUAAUUAACAAUAUGGUAAGCAGAUACUACUGUGGUUAAAAAUAAGCAGAAUUUUCUAUUGGGUGACCCAGUCCUCCUUACUAGAUUUGCCUUCUAAUGCGUGUGUUAACUAAUAGGAAUUAAAUCUCCCAUCCUGCUAUAGGCAAUAAGAGGAUACUUUAGUGGCCUCAUGAUACAAAGACUAAGACACAUGAAGAAAUCAAGAAUGAGUCCCCAGGUGUUCCCUAUGAUCAGUAAAGAUAAAUUAGUAAAGAAUUUCAUUCACCUUCAUCUUUGUAAUGUACCAUGGGCUAUCUUCCAGGCAGAUCCUGUUUACUUGAUAGAUUUUUGUCCCAUUUUAUAGCCCCCAACACAUGAAGAAAGUGUUUUCUUGUUUUUGAAGUUAGCUAUGGGAUUUCUGGUCUAGUCAAUUUUAUUGGCUUCUGGAGAAUUGUUGUAAUGAUCUGUGACCCACUGCGUCAUUGCGAAGUUUCAUGGGAUGGUAGAACAGCUUGUGUAAAACAGCUUUUAUGACCUGAGAUAGAGUGAGUCUAGGAAGUGAAAGUUACAUGAGAAGCGUUUGUGAAGCAUUUGUGACGCAUCUGCCAGAAUCAAGGUACUGUGUUAGCUACUAGAGUACCUCGUAAGGAGCAAACAUUUUAUUAAGGAUGAAAAGGCAUCUGCCCAAGUUAACUGUUCUAUUACAACAUCUGUUAUUUGAGCCGCAAACUUUUGGAACCGAAAGUAAGGGCUGAAAGAGUAAGGAGGAGGCAGAGAUUAGUAGUACUGAUGCCAUCUUCAGCAGGCUUCCAGUAAGAAAUCUGAAGCGUCUACAAAAGCCUCACUACACCGUCACCCCACACUGGAACUGCCUGUUGACUUCUCUCUGCUCCAUAAAACUGAAACUUCUGGGGGUAGAGGCUAUAUCCUGGUCUUUUUGGUAUCCUUAAUGGCUAGCACAGUACCUGACACAUAAUAUGGCCCACCAAAUGAAUGACUGAAUCAAAUAAUCCUUCAAACCUCUUCAGAAUCAUUGGUAUCUAGUAUCUGAACACUGUCAUUUAGUUUGCACCCAAAGUCUGUCUUUCUAAUAUCUAGACUGUCAUCAAUCAUUUGUUUAAAUAGUUCCACUUCAUCAUUCUUGGUUGAAAGUCUAAUUUCAAAUAUUAAUAUCUGAGGCAUUGUUGAAAAGAAGAAUUAAAAAUUGUGUACACAUCUUAUAAAUUUGCCUCAUGGUGAAAAACAUUCCUAAAUCAUGUCUGCUGCUGCUGCUGCUGCUAAGUCGCGUCAGUCGUGUCCGACUCUGUG
ensembl:lncRNA